AACGAACGCUGGCGGCAUGCCUAACACAUGCAAGUCGAACGAGACCUUCGGGCCUAGUGGCGCACGGGUGCGUAACGCGUGGGAACCUGCCCUUAGGUUCGGAAUAACUCCCCGAAAGGGGUGCUAAUACCGGAUAAUGUCUUCGGACCAAAGAUUUAUCGCGUUUGGAUGGGCCCGCGUUGGAUUAGCUAGUUGGUAGGGUAAAAGCCUACCAAGGCGACGAUCCAUAGCUGGUCUGAGAGGAUGAUCAGCCACACUGGGACUGAGACACGGCCCAGACUCCUACGGGAGGCAGCAGUGGGGAAUAUUGGACAAUGGGCGAAAGCCUGAUCCAGCAAUGCCGCGUGAGUGAUGAAGGCCGUAGGGUUGUAAAGCUCUUUUACCCGGGAUGAUAAUGACAGUACCGGGAGAAUAAGCACCGGCUAACUCCGUG
rnacentral:rRNA from 1 species